rnacentral:rRNA from 1 species
UACGUAGGGUGCAAGCGUUGUCCGGAAUUAUUGGGCGUAAAGAGCUCGUAGGCGGUCCGUCGCGUCGGCUGUGAAAACUCAGGGCUCAACCCUGAGCCUGCAGUCGAUACGGGCGGACUAGAGUAUGGCAGGGGAGACUGGAAUUCCUGGUGUAGCGGUGAAAUGCGCAGAUAUCAGGAGGAACACCGGUGGCGAAGGCGGGUCUCUGGGCCAUAACUGACGCUGAGGAGCGAAAGCGUGGGGAGCGAACAGG